UACAGAGGGUGCGAGCGUUGUCCGGAAUCACUGGGCGUAAAGGGCGCGUAGGCGGCGCGGUAAGCGUGCGGUGAAAGCCCGGGGCUCAACCCCGGGUCGGCCGUGCGGACUGCCGGGCUGGAGCACUGUAGAGGCAGGUGGAAUUCCGGGUGUAGCGGUGGAAUGCGUAGAGAUCCGGAAGAACACCGGUGGCGAAGGCGGCUCACUGGACCGGAACUGACGCUGAGGCGCGAAAGCGUGGGGAGCAAACGGG
rnacentral:rRNA from 1 species